UCACAGACUUGACAAAACAAAACACCCUGCGAGAGAAAUCCUGAGCCUGGAGGAUCUGACAAAGGAGCGUCUUCAUGUACCCCACACAGGGUCAUGUUACUCACCAAGGCAGGGCACUAACAUCACACCAGGUCUUUCAUCAGUGGAUAAUGAAAGGCAGUUGAGACUUUUUGCAGUGAUUUGUAAGUUUUGAAAUUUACUUACAACCACUUAAGAACAUUUAGAUCCGGAUUAUCAAUCAGUAAG
rnacentral:lncRNA from 1 species